rnacentral:sRNA from 1 species
AUUUAGCCCCGAUAGCAGCGGUAUCUCCCGAUUUAGAAAAACAAGGCUUUUUAGCCGUAGUUUUUGUUAGUUGGGAAUAUAGCGGAUAGCGGGACAAAAC